AUGUGGCUGUGGCAGAUGGAUAAAAAAAAGCAAGAAGAUGAGGAAUUUGAGGCUGGAAUGCUUGCAUUUGCUUUGGAAAUGGCGUCGUCAAGCAAAUCAUUGUCGUAUGCGUCAAGAAGAUUACCACUUGUUACAGGCCUCCAAUGGGUGGAAGAGAAGGAGAAGGAUCCAAAAGCUUUCUAUGCUAUGUUCAGAAUGAGGAGGUCAGUGUUUUACCCAUUACAUGAUCUGUUGGUUGAGAAGUAUGGGCUUAAGUCAACUUGCAACAUAUCAUCCAAAGAAGCGCUGGCACUUUUUCUAUGGACUUUGGGAACAACGCAGACCACUGACAAUGUUGCAGAUCGGUUUGCACAUAGUCGUUCUGUCACUAACAAAAAAUUUCAUGAGGUUUUGGAGUGUGUGGACCACAUGGCCGGUGACUACAUUAGACCAAUGGAUCCAUCCUUCUCUGAACCUCAUCCCAUACUUAGAAAAACAAGGUUCUGGCCUCAUUUCAAAAAUGCUAUCGGAGCCAUAGAUGGAACACAUAUUAAAGUGGUUGUGCCUAAGGAAUUGGAGCCCCAACACAGGAACAGAAAAGGGUACACAGUGAAAAUGUCAUGGCAGUGUGUCAUUUUGAUAUGA
rnacentral:rRNA from 1 species